GGGGAACCUCACAUCUCCCAGACCUACGCAGGUCCCGAGUCUCAUGCCAUCGUCUCCCAGACCUACGCGGGUCCCGGGUCUCACGCCAUCGUCUCCCAGACCUACGCGGGUCCCGAGUCUCACGCCAACGUCUCCCAGAGCUACACGGGUCCCGAGUCUCAUGCCAACGUCUCCCAGAGCUACACAGUUCCUGAGUCUCAUGCCAACGUCUCCCAGAGCUACGCGGGUCCCGAGUCUCAUGCCAACGUCUCCCAGAGCUACACAGUUCCUGAGUCUCAUGCCAACGUCACAGUGUUCACUGAGUGACCACCGGCCACUCCCUGCAGUUUCCUGAUGUGUAGAAUGAGUGGGGAAGAGGAGGAUCUGGCAGAACAGCAGCCAAUCCCUGGGCCUUCAGGCGCGCGACCAGGCCAGGCAAUUGAGGCGGCAGACACAACGCAGGCCGCUCAUCAGCGAGGCUCGAAACAGGGAGGCCAGCCUGGGUGAGCAGGGGGUGGGGUGGGACACAGCCACAGGGUCCUCAAAAGUGGAACAGGCGCCGGGCGCGGUGGCUCACGCCUGUAAUCCCAACACUUUCGGAGGCCGAGGCGGGCAGAUCACGAGGUCAGGAGAUUGAGACCAUACUGGCCAACAUAGUGAAACUCCGUCUCUACUAAAAAUACAAAAAUUAGCCGGGCAUGGUAGAGCAUGCCUGUAGUCCCAGCUACUCGGG
rnacentral:lncRNA from 1 species